rnacentral:lncRNA from 1 species
UUGUAUUCAAAGGAGAGUACUAAGGAUACUCUAACUCAAUUACAAAAGAACAAAAUACCACAAAUAAUAAACCAAACCAGUUUAAGGUAAUCAAGUGGAUCUUUACCACUCAUAUAAAUUACAUUUUAGCCUCUCUUUUUUUAGAGUCUAUAACAAGCCACGACCAAGAGAACAUCCUGACUUUAAAGACAAUUUCUUCGGAGUCACCUGCUGACUGCAUCAUUAGAUAAAAUCCCAGUUCUUGAUCUCCGUAUGCACCAA